GAAGCUCAUCUUCCAUGUGUUUUGCCAUCAUUCCAAGGACUUGAGGUUUUCUUGUAAGGAGUUCAUAUCCUCUACAUCAGUGACAGGUGUAUAUACAAGACAAUCAUCUGCGAAGAUUGUGCAGCCGUU